CUGCUGCCUUCCGUAGGAGUCUGGUCCGUGUCUCAGUACCAGUGUGGGGGACCUUCCUCUCAGAACCCCUACGCAUCGUCGCCUUGGUGGGCCGUUACCCGCCAACAAGCUAAUGCGCCGCAUGCCCAUCCUCCGCCGGAAUCGCUUCCUUUUAACACCCGUGGGAUGCCCCACUGGUGUACCACGCGGUAUUAGUCCGGAUUUCUCCGGGUUAUCCCCCUGCGGAGGGCAGGUUGCAUACGUGUUACUCACCCGUGCGCCGGUCGCCGGCAG
rnacentral:rRNA from 1 species